AGGCAGUUAACCAUGCAGUUCUCUGCAUUCUUUUUGAUGUUUGGGAGAGAAGCAUGCUAUCCAGCUGAGGAGGAAAUAAAUGAUGCAGAGAAACAGAUGGACUGCAGUUUGUACUUGUAGAACUGCAGAGUGCACUGGUGCAGUAAGUGGAUCUGAUAAGAUGGACAAUUCAUGCAGAUACAAGGGGCAGUAAUGGGCUGGAGGUAAGGGAACCAGCCAUGUGACCGGAAGGUUUCCGGUUCGAUUCCCUUGGCUGACAGUCCAUGACUGAAGUGCCCUUGAGCAAGG
ensembl:lncRNA